rnacentral:rRNA from 1 species
UACGGAGGGGGUUAGCGUUGUUCGGAAUUACUGGGCGUAAAGCGCGCGUAGGCGGAUUGGAAAGUUGGGGGUGAAAUCCCAGGGCUCAACCCUGGAACUGCCUCCAAAAACUCCCAGUCUUAGUUCGAGAGAGGUGAGUGGAAUUCCGAGUGUAGAGGUGAAAUUCGUAGAUAUUCGGAGGAACACCAGUGGCGAAGGCGGCUCACUGGCUCGAUACUGACGCUGAGGUGCGAAAGUGUGGGGAGCAAACAGGAUUAGAUACCCGGGUAGUC